rnacentral:rRNA from 1 species
GUCAAGAUAGGAAGGGCACAUGGUGGAUGCCUUGGCACCAGGAGUCGAUGAAGGGCGUGAACGGCUGCGAUAAGCCGCGGGUAGGCGCUGAAUAGCCAUUGAUCCGCGGAUUCCCGAAUGGGGAAACCCAACGCUGGUAAUACGGCGUUACCGCAUGCUGAAUACAUAGGCAUGCGGGGGCAAGCCGGGGAACUGAAACAUCUCAGUACCCGGAGGAAAGGAAAUCAACCGAGACUCCCCGAGUAGUGGCGAGCGAAAGGGGAAGAGCCCAAACUUCGUACGUGUAAGCGGCCACGCGUUGCGUACGAGGGGUUGUAGGGCGCCUGUCCGGGAUGUGGCUGUCCCGGCGAGAGUUACCAAGCCGAUCGGUAGUUGAAGCGCGUGGAACCGCGCACCACAGAGGGCAAUCGUCCCGUAGACGAAACCGACCGGCCUCUCGAUGGCGUUCCUGAGUAGGUCCGCACCCGUGAAACGCGGACUGAAUCUGGGGGGACCACCCUCCAAGGCUAAGUACUCCCUGGUGACCGAUAGCGGACUAGUACCGUGAGGGAAAGGUGAAAAGUACCCCGGAAGGGGAGUGAAAUAGUACCUGAAACCGCGUGCCUACAAGCGGUCGGAGCAGCUUCGUGCUGUGACGGCGUGCUUUUUGCAUAACGAGCCGGCGAGUUACUCGUCUGCGGCGAGCUUAAGCGAUGAGCGAAGGCGUAGCGAAAGCGAGUCCUAAUAGGGCGACUUAGUCGUAGGCGGUAGACCCGAAACUGAGCGAGCUACCCAUGGGCAGGUUGAAGCGGGGGUAAGACCCCGUGGAGGACCGAACCGACCUAGGUUAAAAACUGGGCGGAUGACCUGUGGGUCGGAGUGAAAGGCUAAUCAAGCUCAGAGAUAUCUGGUUCUCUCCGAAAUAUAUUUAGGUAUAGCCUCGGAUAAAUUCCGAUGCGGCCGUAGAGCACUGUUUGGUCUAGGGGGCCUACCAGCUUACCGAAAUCAGGCAAACUCCGAAGACCGUUUCGGCUACUCCGGGAGUCAGUUGCUGGGGGAUAAACUUCAGCGUCAAAAGGGAAACAGCCCAGACCGCCAGCUAAGGACCCUAAGUGCUAGCUAAGUGGCAAACGAUGUCCGAGUGCACAGACAACCAGGAGGUUGGCUUAGAGGCAGCCAUCCUUGAAAGAGUGCGUAACAGCUCACUGGUCAAGUGUUCGGGCGCGGAUAAUGUAACGGGGCUCAAGCUAGCCUCCGAAGCUGCGGGUGCGUCGCAAGACGCGCGGUAGGAGAGCGUUCCCAUGGCAGUGAAGCGGCGGUGGAAACCAGCCGUGGAGCCGUGGGAAGUGAGAAUGCCGGCAUGAGUAACGAAAGAGGGGUGAGAAUCCCCUCCGCCGAUUGCCCAAGGAUUCCUGAGUAAAGUUCGUCUGCUCAGG